AGCAAAAACAACAGCAACGCCCGACUACAAGUGGCCCAUGAUGACGUCAGACGCAUUCAACAGCAGCAAUGUCCUGGGUGGGGCAGAAAUGGCGCAGGUGUCCCCGCCUGGAAAGGUGCGUGAACCAUCCCGAAGUGGAGAAACCUCUGGGAAAACAUGCCACACGGUGGGUCGCUCUUGGCCCUGCCCUUGAGAGCCAGAAAGGUCCGGAGUCCGCGGAGGAGCAGCUGCUGAACAAGGACUCGGAGAACAGGAGGGUACCGAUGCCCGACGGCUCAGAGGUCGAGCUGACGGGGGACCCGGGAGCCAUUCAGGAGCUGGAAACCAGGAGGACUUUGCGCAAUACCUGGGGAGACGCUCUGGAGAAACCACUUUGAGGAUGCCAACAUGUAUUCCGGCAGCCACUGAUGAUAUCCUACCAAUCUGUCCAUAACUCUGUAAUGUUUCUGUUGCUCCUAUGCUAUUCCAUAAAUGGAUGUAUGUUUGUUACUAUGUGUUUUCAACAACAACCAUUGAGAAUAGUCAAUGACUAUUUGACUGAUCACCCAUGUAUAGCUCUAUUUGUUUUCCCUAGAGACCACUUUGGAGAAACCAGGGUAUAGUACAACAACCACUGAUAAUUUCUUGCCAUUUCCGUUUGUAACUCACUAUUAUUUGUCUAUUUGUUUUCCUGAGAAAUUAUCUUGAAGAUCCAAUAGGUAAAGUAAAAACCAUUGAUAAUAUCCUACCACUUUGUCUGUAAUUCGGUGUAUCCCCCUACUGCUUUGUUGUCCUUCUUUUACUCUUAAAAAGAAAAAAAAUUUAAAAAUUAAAAAUAAUAAUAUUUAUACAAAGUUACUGUGUGUAUCAGUGAGAGACAAAAAC
rnacentral:lncRNA from 1 species